rnacentral:rRNA from 1 species
AUAAACGCUGGCGGCGCACAUAAGACAUGCAAGUUGCACGGACUUAAUCGAAAUAUUUAUAUUUUGAAGCGGGUAGUGGCGGACUGGUGAGUAACGCGUAAGGAACCUGCCUAUUAGAGGGGAAUAACAGGGAGAAAUCAUUGCUAAUACCGCAUAUGCCAUAGAUAUCACAUGAUAACAGUGGGAAAGGAGCAAUCCGCGAAUAGAUGGCCUUGCGGCUGAUUAGAUAGUUGGUGGGGGAACGGCCUACCAAGUCGACGAUCAGUAGCCGGACUGAUAGGUUGCACUGCCGCCUCGGGACUGAGGUACGGCCCGGACUCCUUCGGGAGGCAGCAGUCGGGUAUCUUGCGCAAUGGAGGUAACUCUGACGCAGUGUCGCCGCGUAUAGGUCGAAGGUUUUCGGAUUGUAAACUAUUGUCGUUAUGGACGCGUAAUGACAGUACCUAAGGAGGAAGCCCCGGCUAACUACGUG